rnacentral:rRNA from 1 species
AGUGAACGCUGGCGGUAGGCCUAACACAUGCAAGUCGAACGGCAGCACAGUAAGAGCUUGCUCUUACGGGUGGCGAGUGGCGGACGGGUGAGGAAUACAUCGGAAUCUACUUUUUCGUGGGGGAUAACGAAGGGAAACUUACGCUAAUACCGCAUACGACCUACGGGUGAAAGCAGGGGAUCUUCGGACCUUGCGCGAUUGAAUGAGCCGAUGUCGGAUUAGCUAGUUGGCGGGGUAAAGGCCAACCAAGGCGACGAUCCGUAGCUGGUCUGAGCGGAUGAUCAGCCACACUGGAACUGAGACACGGUCCAGACUCCUACGGGAGGCAGCAGUGGGGAAUAUUGGACAAUGGGCGCAAGCCUGAUCCAGCCAUACCGCGUGGGUGAAGAAGGCCUUCGGGUUGUAAAGCCCUUUUGUUGGGAAAGAAAAGCAUCAGGUUAAUACCCCGCUGUUCUGACGGUACCCAAAGAAUAAGCACCGGCUAACUUCGUG